CUCGCGUGUCGUGUCAGCCGCCGCGGUAAUACGGAGGGUGCAAGCGUUAAUCGGAAUUACUGGGCGUAAAGGGUGCGUAGGUGGUCUGAUAAGUUAUCUGUGAAAUCCCUGGGCUCAACCUGGGCAGGUCAGAUAAUACUGUUGGACUCGAGUAUGGGAGAGGGUAGUGGAAUUUCCGGUGUAGCGGUGAAAUGCGUAGAGAUCGGAAGGAACACCAGUGGCGAAGGCGGCUACCUGGCCUAAUACUGACACUGAGGCACGAAAGCGUGGGGAGCAAACAGGAUUAGAUACCCUGGUAGUCCACGCCGUAAACGAUGUCAACUAGCUGUUGGAUAUAUGAAUAUAUUUAGUGGCGCAGCAAACGCGAUAAGUUGACCGCCUGGGGAGUACGGUCGCAAGAUUAAAACUCAAAUGAAUUGACGGG
rnacentral:rRNA from 1 species